UGUUUUCCUGAGGUUGAAAUGAUCAGGUACAAAUGGCCUCGACCGAGAGUUUCUUCAAGACAUUUGGACAUGGAUCUCCUCCAAAAUUUUCAGGUGACACAGUUACCUUGCACGAGUUUUGUCCAACACAAUUCUGUAGAAAAAAAAAAUCACUUUUGAUUAAUGAAACAAGUAUAAGUGACAAUCAAAUACGAAUGGUUGCAAAUUUGACUUUUCGACUUGAACCUAAAAGAUUUCAUUUUAGAGCCUUUAGUACUGCAAAGAGUUAAAUAUUGAUACACUGUUAGUGUAACGUUUUUAAUGAUCUGACGAUUAUGAUUGACUGACAGUGGAAAAAAGUCUUUAUACUGACGAUAUAUAUGCAUUGAAUCUUAACUUAAAAAGAUAUCAUGUUUUUCAGAAACCAUGUCUAGCUAUAGCAAUACCUUUUCAAAGGUAUUAUAAGACUUGUGAGCAUGACAGCUUCCUUCAUGAAAGUUUCCACAAGACCCUACUGGAGUACCAAAGCUAGCGAAUUUGAUCGAUGAUAUUUUCUGUCCAGGGCCACAAGAUAAAUGUGCUUUUGGUCUCACAGGUUUGUUAGUUUUGCCAGAAGUUUGCAUCUGAUAACUUAUAAGAUUUGGCUGCCACUCAUAAAUAUCUGCACAUACACUAUCUAUAUCCCUUCUAACCAAAAAUAUCCCAUUAGGGUCUCCACCCAAUUCUUCAAACACAACCAAUAAAUUUCCAGUUGGUAUCAGCCAUGAAUGAGGAACAUGGUACCUGAAAUUACCAUUUAGUGAUUAGUUUAUCAAUAAUUUAUCAUCGGCAUUAGGCAAAACUAUACGGAAAACUUUAUAUUUCUCACUUACCAUCUUUGAGAAGCCUCGCCGCAGUUACUUCUACAUUUAUUCUCGUUAUAAGUUCCUGCAUAGUCACAGUUAUCACAGGUCCCGGACGCUUUAUAAGCAGGCCAGUAACGGCCAAGAUUCUGUCCAUUUAACCACACUUGUCCUUUUCCCAUACUUCCCAUGUCUAAAGCAAACGGUGCAAUUCCGUCCGGGGCAUCGAAGGUAGUUUUGUACCAAGUCAACGGCUGCAUACGAGAAACUAAACUCCCCUGAACCCACUCGACCGAGGAACUUCCACCGAGAGAAUGAAGACUCAAGGCUUCACCAUGGAGACCGACCUAAAUAAAACAGUAAUUUGAAUGAAUCUUUGAGCAAAAUAGGCAAUAUAGAGAGAGAAGAAAGCGCGGUGAGUGUUCAGGGUAGAACCUUGUAAGACCAUUUCUGCCAAGAGAGGUCCCUUCUACCUUCAUCGAGACCAUUUAAUGUAAUCGGGCCAAGAACACCAGCAUUCCAUGUUUCAAAGUGAGGGCCAACAUUCUGUGUUUCAGUAACAAGCAGCAAAUAAGUAAUAUAGAAUUGUCAAAAAAGAUCAUACUGCAACACAGUUCAUGAUUCAGAUAGAUCGGCUUAGUAUUGUAAUGCAGGGGUGCUUAUAACAAAUAUAUUUUCAAUGUCUGAGAGAGAGAGAGAGAGAGAGAGCAAACCGGGAGUCCAACUGCAACACUUAGAAGAGAGAUUUUGUUGACACCAGGUAUGAGCUUCACAUUCUGGCUAAAUGUUAGCUUGGGGAAUUCUAAGCUUCCAUAUAUAGUUCCUGAUCAAAAGGAGAGUAACGAUAAUUAUUCAGACUAUUAUUAGCUUUUGAUUACUUAAUGAAGCCUAGAUAUAUUCAUUCCAAGUAUUGUUACUAUGUAUCAUAUCCUCAAUAGCAUACAUCAAAUUUUAAUUUAACAUGAAAUUUCGUAAACCAGUAUAAUGCUCCUCACCUGACAGCUGACUAUUGAUGAAAACAUGCAAAGCAUGCCCUGCAGAUAACACUGUAAGAACAGGAUCCUUUCCACUUCUCAGAAAUCCUUCAUUGGGAUCAAUCACAACACUAGCAAAAAAAGGGAG
rnacentral:lncRNA from 1 species